UACGGAGGGGGCUAGCGUUGUUCGGAAUUACUGGGCGUAAAGCGCGCGUAGGCGGACCUGCAAGUCGGGGGUGAAAGCCCGAGGCUCAACCUCGGAACUGCCUUCGAUACUGCGGGUCUCGAGUCCGGGAGAGGUGAGUGGAAUUCCUGGUGUAGCGGUGAAAUGCGUAGAUAUCAGGAGGAACACCUGUGGCGAAAGCGGCUCACUGGACCACAACUGACGCUGAGGCGCGAAAGCUAGGGGAGCAAACAGG
rnacentral:rRNA from 1 species